rnacentral:lncRNA from 1 species
GCUUUAUCUUAGUAACAACGAGGAUAGACAAAAGCCAAUUGCCAGAUCAAGCAGUUUACUACUUGAAAUUUGAUUAUUUUCUUAUUGAUCCAGAAACAAGUGUACUCAUUGCCUUCACCUUCAUCUCGUACAAUUUGAUUGCCUGACUGACUAGUAUACUUGCACGGAUGCCUUUUAUUUUGUCCUAAAUUUUUUAACUCUAUGAACUUAUUUACACCUUUUGCCAUCAAGCCUUUUCCUGUAAUGUUAAUUGUAUUGUGCCUUGAGGACAUAUUUUUGUCAAGCUAUAUGAUAUUCUUCCUGCUGGUCAUCUGUAAGGUAGUACAGAACAUUGAAAAUCAUAGGUGAUUAAUCUCACAGACAAAUCUCAGUUAUGUUUUUGUCUUGUACUGAUUUGUUUGCCUAUCUAACUCUGGUGCACAAUUUGUUAAUUUUUGUUGAUGGAAUGUUGGUACAUGGUGGAAUGGUUAGUUGGUCUGUAGUCCAACUAAAUGAAAUCACCCCUUCUUUCAGAGCUGAAGAAAGCUGCCUUUCAUAUGAUGCAGGUUUUGAAAGAAGAUUUAGGAGUAUAUCUCUGCAAUUUUCUAUCUUUGACCAUGUAUUUGAGAAGGUUAGUAGCAGUCACUUUGUAGCAAAAAGGAAUGAAAACAGUGGGAUGGAUGGGAUUCUGUAGGGGAAUUGGAUUGCUAAGAGACAAGAACAACAAGAGACUUGAACCGAUUAGUAGCGAAGUAAAUUUGUUCGCUCUACUUGGGAUGGCUUCUGAUCUUGUAUGAUCAAAUUCUGAUGUACUUGCAAUGUGAUUUCUGUCAUCUAUCUAGAUUUACAAUUACCAGUUGCCUAUGGUUAAAAUAAAACAUACAAAUUGGAUCAAAACUCCUUGGUGUCUAAACUGUUAACCUUUUGCAGUUGGUUAAAAGUUAAUCCAAGUUUGAAUUAAAGUAAAUUAAUGUGAUUGAUUUUAAUGGUCAGGUUUCUGGAUUGCCAUUUCAAUUUGCCCCCUUGAGAUAUGCUAGAUCAACGAGUGCUGCACUCUCUCUGUGGUUGAUGAGACGCCAAAGACGCGUAUCUGUGUUUGCUGCAUAAGGGAACAAUGCCAUCACACCCCAGCAUAAAAUUCAACGUAAGAUGAUUUUACUUCCUAUAGGGGAUUGUGUUUGUCGCUAAACCAUAUUGGUGUUUGGUACCUUCAGAUUUAAUCUUAUAAGUAGGAUUAGUGUAACAGAAUCUCUGCAGGAGCAAGUGUAUUAUAAAUCCUUGUCACGUGUUCAACGAGAACUUGUAAAUUUUAAGAUACUUUUUAUGUGUCAAAACUCUUGAAUCGUUUGUAUAAACUAGAACUUUAUAUUUAAGGAGUACAUAAAAUGGUCUAAUAAAAAAAUUAUAUCACUGAAGGCAAUUAGAGUAAAUAUUUAGUGAAAAUUAUGGAUGAUGAUAUCUAAUAUAUAUAUAUAUAUAUAAUUGAGAUUUUAGGAGGACGGAGGAAAAGGAGAAUUUGAAUUCAAAAUCUCUAAAUUUUGAACUCUCAAUUUUUAGACACUGGAUCAAAGACAUUGGACAUGUAAUAUAGUCAAUCUGUUAUUUCUAAUGAAGGGCUUCAACUUGUUUCAAUGCUAAACGAUGGUUUAUCUUCAAAUAUUUUUCCUCAAUAUGCACAAAAGAAAUAUUUUGUUGUUCCUCUAACUAGGCCCAAAUUAGUCCACCCAAGUUAUCAGGUUGACCCAUUUCUGAACUAGGGUGAAUUGGAUCAAACUAAAAUGCCCAACUAUUUUAGUAACUAUCCAGUAAAGCACAAUUUUCCAUCAAGAAAAAUGUAGUUUUGGUAUCAAAACUUUGACAUAUGAGCGGUUUUAGUCCCAAAAUUUGGAUGAUAACAAAUCCGGUGCCCAAACUUUCAAAUUUUGAACACAUUUAGUACCCUUGAUGAUUUUUUCCCAAAUUGCUACCGGAAAAAGUCAUGUGACAGUCACAUGUCCGCCCACUAUUGUAUAAAAAAUGUCAAAUGCCAUUCUAAUACUAAGUAUUAAGUUUAAGGACUCACAUGAGUCAAUUGAUUGCCACCAAGAACCAAAGCAACUAGAAGAACACAAUUAUCAAGAUCAGUCUUCAUUGUCUUGAUUCUAGCCUUUUGAAAGUAGAAUCUAUUGCAUGCAUGCUUCUUGACGAACCGGGAAUUAGAAAUUGAUGUCUUCGACAUAUGUUGGAUCACACCAUGCCCAACUUGAAUGUUUGUUGAAGUUUGGUUCUUAGGUUUUCUUUUGGAGAGAGAGAGUUGGAACACAGAUAGAAAUGAGUUUGGUAGAGUUUUACAUCGUUUCCUUCUUCUUUUAUUUUUUAAAUGACUCAUGUGAUGUUAUUUAGUCCAUAGGUUUUUUUAUUACAUUAUUAGUGCUUAAACUUACUAUUUAGUAUUAGAAUGGCAUUUGACAUUUUUGUGAUAUUUUGUAUACAAUAGUGGUCGGACAUGUGAUUGUUACAAGGGAUUCAACUUGUUUCAAUGCUAAACGGUGGUUUAUCUUCAAAUAUUUUUCCUCAAUAUGCACAAAAGAAAUAUUUUGCUGUUUCUCUAAAAUUUAAAAAAUUGGAAGGGACUAACGGGCUGGGCCCAAAUUAGUCUACCCAAGUUAUCAGGUUGACCCAUCUCUUAACUAGGGUGAAUUGGAUCAAAUUAAAAGGCCCACCUAUUUUAGUAACCGUCCAGUCAGGCACAAUUUUCCAUCCAAUGUUCUUUUUCCUUUUCUGUUCCCUUUUUUGCGAAGAGAGAGAAAUGGUCGGUUCUUUUUCUGAUGGAAAUGGCACUUUUUGAACAUUGAGAACUAGAAUUAAAGUUUGAACUAUUUGGGCAAAAAAUUGAACAGUCCAAAACACCUUUAGCUGAAAAGAAUCGAUGAAGGCCUUUUUAGGAGAUUCUUUGAGCUGAACUAGGGAUGGACAUUCUUUUGGAUGCUGGUGUUAUAUUGAUUUCCAGAAGGAUGAUCACUUUUUUGGAUAAAGAUCCAAAAGAAAGAAUCACGCUUUCACUUUAUACCAUUGUUCUCCUCUAAAUCUUAUUCCCCUUUUAUUAGAUUCUUGGUACCAUUCCAUUUUUUUCGAGCAGCGAGAGAUGUGAUUUAAGAAACGAGGAGAAGAAGAGAAUUUAAACCCAUAAUCUCUAUGUCUUGUCGUGUCAAUCUUUAACAAACCCUUUCACUAUCUUGAACUUUUUUCCUCUAUUUUUAUAUAGAAAUUUGGUAAUUCAGAUGACAUUCAGAUGGAGUUAUUUUUUUUCUCUUUUUAUAUUUUGUGGAAAGUUCUCGUUGGAAAAACCUAACUGAAUUUCUUUUUAAUGCAAUGACAACAGUUAAAUUUUAGGAAAAAUUUCCAAUAGGAGUGGUGCAAGUUUACUAAUUCAUAAAAAGAUAGGAAAAUUUUUGUUUAGUUUCUAAACACAACCAUUUUUACGUUCACCGCAGAAGUAUUUAUCAUCCCCCUUGCAACAAAAUGUGAAGAUUGUUUAUCAAAGCCCCUAGAAAGGACACAUAUUUGUACAAGUCGCAAAGCCAAAAAAAAAAAAUAGAAAAUACUAUACGGGAAGUAAGUUUGUAAAAUAUUUUUGAGUAUUGAAUAUUUCCUUCUUUUCCAAAAUAUCAAAUGUCAAUCUAUAUAUGGAUUGGAAGUAUUCCUCAAACUGAGCUCUCAAGUCUAAAUCAUUGGUUGAUAAAGACAUUAGUUUGGUAAUUUAUUUAUAAGACUCUGGUAAACUUUUCAAAUACUCCCUUUUAGAUUCUUACUUGAACCACAAAAAAUCUCAUCAAUCCUAGAAGAACUUUUGGUAGUAAUUCUAAAAGUAGAAAAAAAAAAAAUUCUUCAACAAUUCACUGUACAGAAAAAGAACAUGAGAUUACCCCUAGCACUCGUCUUGUUACUAAAAACAAUUGCUAGCAUGCCAAACAAUUGACUAGUAUCCAUUUCCAUUAUGGAAAAUGCUACUCUAUGUGACAGACGAGUUAAUACGAUAAAAAUAAAGAUAAAGAUGAUCAUCUCAUUGAUUUCAAAGAUUUUUAUGUUUUUGCUUAUCACUUCAACACGUAGCGAGAAUUUUCAACUCGCUUUUUGUAGGUGAACUCGUCCGUUACACUGAUUACUUUAAUGCCACCAACCAAGAAGACGCAUAGAGUCAUUGGAAGUGUCGGCUAUGGUGUAAAAUUGAACAUCGCAGUAUGAAAGCCUUCAAUUCAAAGAUCCAUUUGGUACAGCAUGACAAGAACGGCACAUAAAAGCUUAAUAAAACUCUGUCCCCUUUUUUGGUACAGUGAUUUGAUGUGCCAAUUUAAGAAGCCCUUGUCUGUUUUAGCCUCUACCUCCCAUCUUCCAAGAGAAAAAUAAAUCAAUAAAUAAACCGUGAAAAGAUAAUCCUAGGUUGUUUUGCAACAUUCCAUGAAGAAAAAAAAAUGGUUGACUCGAUUUUCCCAUUGGCCUUUAUAGCCUGUGAGGUAUCCAAAUGUUUGAUGAAAGUGGAUAAUAUGAAUAAUAUCACUUUGUACCAUAUAAAAUUUAUAACUAAAAAGGCUUAGAAUUAAUUUUUUUUUAUUAGAUCACUUAUUUUUCAGCACUUUUACAUUAUGUGAUAGUUGGAUUUUUACUUUUAAAGCAAAUUAUGCAAUUGAUCGUAGCAUGUUAAUCCCAAGCAAUGAGUAGAAUAAUAGUGUUGCUGCACUUUAUUUGUUGUUUUUUUAACUACUAUUCUACUACCAAAGGGUCGAAUAUAGAGGUUUAGCUUAAAUUGCAACAAGUGGAAAUUGAGAAUACAUUAUUGUAAUUUGUAUCACAAGCUUAAUAUCCUCCCUCUUUUUUUUUUUUUUUUUGGUAAAAAGUUACAACUAAUUAACAAUCAUGUGGCAAAUAAUAUGGUGCACUAAUUAAUCCUAUAUAGCCUUAAUUACGGGUUGCUUUCAAAAAUAUUAAAAAAAACCCUAAUUGUGGGUUCAUCACGUUCUUUCUCUUUGGUGUUUACUGCAGCAAAACAUUUUCAGGUACAAAUUACCUCUAUCAACUAGAAACCCUAAUAAUCAAGUGAAACUUCAUCUUCUAGGAUUGGCUUUCUUUAAUAUAGCUUCAUUACAGAUAUGAACAAGUGUUUAAAGCCUUAAAAAUUGUUCUUCAAUUGGUGGGCCUAAAGGGCAUUUUUGUUUGUUUUAUCCUCCAAAUAUUUUUCACUUUCCAGCUCCAGAUUCUUCUGACUUUGUAACUAUACUUCAUGUCUGAUUAGAGAUACUUAACUCCAUAAGAAAAUCUCAUCUGGGGUGGUCAUUAUAUGCAAACACAAAAAAUUAGCAUAGACAACACAAACCUUUAUAUAUAUUAGUUCCUUCUUUGUAUUCAAUACAGCUAAGGCACCACACUCUGAGAAGACCACAAAUGAAAGGAGCCAAAGGAUUGCAUGUGCUGCAUGUGAGCAUGAAAGCCACCAAACAAAACAAAGAGCAAAGAAGCUAACACAUGUCUGUCCGACAUUAGGAUGGAGAAGGAAAAUGAAAGGGAUUAUAACGUCCGGCCCGUUGGGUUACUAAUAACUUUUUGUUAACCAUUUUGAAUUCGUGGUUUCAGCUCAAAAAGUUAUUGGGCCAUCCCGUGGGCAUGGGGUGUUACAUCUGUAGAAAAUAGGAGCUGAAAGUACUUUAGUACUCUUUUUAUAGUUGUCUGAAUGACCAGCAGUAAUCCUCUUAAAGGAGAUAGUCAUCUUAAUAUUGCUACAUUUUGAAGAUACUUUAUAUGUUUCUCAGAAGUAGGUGGGAUUAUCAAUCUUUAUAGGGAGAUCUACAUGAUACCUCUUGAAACGAUAUUGAAGUUUGGUAAUUAACGUCUCAAUUGUUCUCAUUUCUUUGUAUAGUAUACACAUGAUUUACUGUCUUAUCAGAAAAUAAAAAGUAAGAAAAUGAAAAAAGUCCAAGCUUUAUAAACUACCUAUAGAAGUCACUUAGGAUGUUCUUUCCAUGUGGUUCUCAAAGCUAUCCACUCGUGGAGGAGAUAUGGACAAGUAAAUGAGAAGGAAAUUUGAACAAUGACUGUUAAGACUUUAGGUGACUCAGAUUUCUGUUUCUUCUGUUUCCAUUGCAUGUGAACCUGUCCAGUGAAGUUGUUGGCUCCCCCAAUUCUUCUCCUGGCUUAAUUACUUCAACAUACCACAAUUAGAAAAGAUGUGAUUGAGUUGCUUGGCCUUGAAUUCCUCUAGGUGCAAUUACCUAAGAGCUGGUAUACUUCAGGUUGCAUCACCUGGGAAUUUCGGCUGUUUCCAGAGUGAGAAAGAUGGCUUUAUCUUAGUAACAACGAGGAUAGACAAAAGCCAAUUGCCAGAUCAAGCAGUUUACUACUUGAAAUUUGAUUAUUUUCUUAUUGAUCCAGAAACAAGUGUACUCAUUGCCUUCACCUUCAUCUCGUACAAUUUGAUUGCCUGACUGACUAGUAUACUUGCACGGAUGCCUUUUAUUUUGUCCUAAAUUUUUUAACUCUAUGAACUUAUUUACACCUUUUGCCAUCAAGCCUUUUCCUGUAAUGUUAAUUGUAUUGUGCCUUGAGGACAUAUUUUUGUCAAGCUAUAUGAUAUUCUUCCUGCUGGUCAUCUGUAAGGUAGUACAGAACAUUGAAAAUCAUAGGUGAUUAAUCUCACAGACAAAUCUCAGUUAUGUUUUUGUCUUGUACUGAUUUGUUUGCCUAUCUAACUCUGGUGCACAAUUU